rnacentral:rRNA from 1 species
GAUGAACGCUGGCGGCGUGCCUAAUACAUGCAAGUCGAGCGAACAGAUGAGGAGCUUGCUCCUCUGACGUUAGCGGCGGACGGGUGAGUAACACGUGGAUAACCUACCUAUAAGACUGGGAUAACUUCGGGAAACCGGAGCUAAUACCGGAUAAUAUAUUGAACCGCAUGGUUCAAUAGUGAAAGACGGUUUUGCUGUCACUUAUAGAUGGAUCCGCGCCGCAUUAGCUAGUUGGUAAGGUAACGGCUUACCAAGGCAACGAUGCGUAGCCGACCUGAGAGGGUGAUCGGCCACCCUGGAACUGAGACACGGUCCAGACUCCUACGGGAGGCAGCAGUAGGGAAUCUUCCGCAAUGGGCGAAAGCCUGACGGAGCAACGCCGCGUGAGUUAUGAAGGUCUUCGGAUCGUAAAACUCUGUUAUUAGGGAAGAACAAAUGUGUAAGUAACUAUGCACGUCUUGACGGUACCUAAUCAGAAAGCCACGGCUAACUACGUG